rnacentral:rRNA from 1 species
UACGAAGGGGGCUAGCGUUGUUCGGAAUUACUGGGCGUAAAGGGCGCGCAGGCGGCCCUCCAAGUCAGGCGUGAAAGCCCCGGGCUCAACCCGGGAACAGCGCUUGAUACUGGAUGGCUUGAGUUUGGGAGAGGGAUGCGGAAUUCCAGGUGUAGCGGUGAAAUGCGUAGAUAUCUGGAGGAACACCGGUGGCGAAGGCGGCAUCCUGGACCAAUACUGACGCUGAGGAGCGAAAGCCAGGGGAGCAAACGGG